CUACCGUUAGCUCAGUUGGUAGAGCAAACUGAGGACUGUAGUUAUUACCAAGUCAGUAUUCCUUAGGUCACCCGUUCGAACCUGGUACGGUAGA